CAUUACACAAAUAUGAAGCCGGACUGGGAUAGGGCCUCGCUGCCUUGCCCGUCUGGCGCCAUAUUCACCCAUGUCUUUUUGCGUACUACUUGUUUCCUUGGCGGGUCCGCCCGCCAAUUGGACCUUAUUCAAACCUUUUUUUCAGUUGCAAUCAGCGUCAGCAAAACAAAUGUAAUCAAUUACAACUUUCAACAACGGAUCUCUUGGUUCUGGCAUCGAUGAAGAACGCAGCGAAAUGCGAUAAGUAGUGUGAAUUGCAGAAUUCAGUGAAUCAUCGAAUCUUUGAACGCACAUUGCGCCCUUUGGUAUUCCAAAGGGCAUGCCUGUUCGAGCGUCAUUUGUACCCUCAAGCUUUGCUUGGUGUUGGGCGUCUUGUCUCUCUCCCGAGACUCGCCUUAAAAUCAUUGGCAGCCGGCCUACUGGUUUCGGAGCGCAGCACAUUAUUUGCGCUCUUGUCCAGCCGCGGUCGCGCGUCCAUGAAGCUUCUUUCAACCUUUUGACCUCGGA
rnacentral:rRNA from 1 species